rnacentral:rRNA from 1 species
AUUCCAAUCGAACCCGGAGAUAGCUGGUUCUCCCCGAAAUAGCUUUAGGGCUAGCCCUGUAUAAACCCAGCGGAGGUAGAGCACUGGAUUUCCGAGGGGGCGUCAAAGCCUGCCAGAGAAUACCAAACUCCGAAUGCCGUAUGGGUGUUGCACAGGAGUCAGGCUGCACGAGAUAAGUCGGGCAGCCGAGAGGGAAAGAGCCCGGACCCGCGGCUAAGGCCCCAAAGUGCAUGUUAAGUGGAAAAGGAUGUGGGGGUUCAAAGACAGCUAGGAUGUUGGCUCAGAAGCAGCCACACAUUAAAAGAGUGCGUAACAGCUCACUAGCCGAGAGCCCCUGCGCCGAAAAUGUCCGGGGCUAAAACAUGCCGCCGAAGCCCGGGGUCCAUGCAAAAGCAUGGGCGGUAGGGGAGCAUUGCCGGCACGAAGAAGCCGUACCGAGAGGGGCGGUGGAGUGCCGGGAAGGGAGAAUGCCGGAAUGAGUAGCGAGAGGAAGGUGAGAAUCCUUCCGGCCGAAUGUCCAAGGUUUCCAGGGUAAAGCUGAUCUGCCCUGGGUGAGUCGGGGCCUAAGGCGAGGCUGAAAAGCGUAGCCGAUGGAUAACAGGUAGAGAUUCCUGUACUGCCUUAUAACAGAAGAUGCGGGGACGCGUUGGCAAAGUGUGAGCCGGGAAAGGAAAAACCGGUGCAAGGACGAGAGGCGUCGGAGGGGAAAGUCCCUUCCGGCAGCAAGCCGGCCGUCUGAUGCAUAGCGAAAAAGAGUAGCGAAACACAUGGAGCGGGCGCCGAGAAAAGCCGCUAUUGUUUGUAAGGUACCCGUACCGAAGACCGACACAGGUGGACAGGGAGAGGAUCCCAAGGCCGGCGGGCGAAGCACUGCCAAGGAACUCGGCAAAAUGGCCCCGUAACUUCGGGAGAAGGGGCGCCCCCGUGAGGGGGCCGCAGAGAAUAGGCCCAAGCAACUGUUUAGCAAAAACACAGGUCUGUGCAAAACCGCAAGGUGAAGUAUACGGGCUGACGCCUGCCCGGUGCUGGAAGGUUAAGGGGAGGGGUAAGUGGGAAACCGCGAAGCUCCGAGCCUAAGCCCCAGUAAACGGCGGCCGUAACUAUAACGGUCCUAAGGUAGCGAAAUUCAUUGUCGGGCAAGUUCCGACCCGCACGAAAGGCGUAAUGAUUUGGGCGCUGUCUCGGCAGUGCACCCGGUGAAAUUGAAGUGCCAGUGAAGAUGCUGGCUACCUGCGCCAGGACGGAAAGACCCCAUGGAGCUUUACUCCAGCUUGAUACUGGG